GGUGAAGUGAUGGAUUGUGAAUCUCCAGCUCAGAGAGAGGGUGAAUGUGAUUCAGUUUUCAGUACCCUGAACCAUCUGAGCUCACCCAAUAAUGGUGAUCACUUCAGCUGAGCAGUUACUAGGCAGCCUCCACCAAGAUGAAUUUGGCCCCUCGCAGAGACGCUCUGGCUCCAGCCAUUCAAGCAGUUUCCUAUCCCUUGACUUCAAAACCAGCAAGAACCAGCAAGAACCAGCAGCUGUGCCACCACUGACCUGCUCCAGCCCUGGGACAGAGCACACACAGCCCCCCAGGACCGGUGGGUGAAUCCCUCAAGCCAGGGGAGCUUGAAAUCACCUCCUCAUUCACAGCCACUGUGGCUGCUCUGUCCCUUAGGUGAGCAUUUUCUCCAAAUUAC
rnacentral:lncRNA from 1 species